UGAAUAGAAUAGUGAGAAACAAGGCUUUCCCGCAAACCUGGAAACAUAGGAAGAUCACAGAUCCCGUGUGUCCUAGAUUAUUCGCAUUUGUUAAGACGCACAAAAACCCAAUAGCUGCCAAACCAAUAUGGAGAAACAGAAAGCCCCCAUAUAUAAUUUAGAAAAAUGCCUAACCAAAUGGUGCAUGAGAAUUCUAGGAUCCAGUCAAUAUUCUACCACCACAAUGGAAGAUGUGUUACGAAGGAUUAGAGCCAUAACCUGGAAUGACCGUAACAUCAUCGGAACCUAUGACUUCCAAAGUCUUUAUCCGUCGAUUAAAUUAGAACUGGUGUCUCUGG
rnacentral:lncRNA from 1 species